rnacentral:rRNA from 1 species
AGAGUUUGAUCCUGGCUCAGGACGAACGCUGGCGGCGUGCUUAACACAUGCAAGUCGAACGAUGACGGUGGUGCUUGCACCGCCUGAUUAGUGGCGAACGGGUGAGUAACACGUGAGUAACCUGCCCUCCACUUCGGGAUAACCUCGGGAAAUCGUGGCUAAUACCGGAUAUGAGCACUCAUCGCAUGGUGGGUGUUGGAAAGAUUUAUCGGUGGGGGAUGGACUCGCGGCCUAUCAGUUUGUUGGUGAGGUGAUGGCUCACCAAGACGAUGACGGGUAGCCGGCCUGAGAGGGCGACCGGCCACACUGGGACUGAGACACGGCCCAGACUCCUACGGGAGGCAGCAGUGGGGAAUAUUGCACAAUGGGCGAAAGCCUGAUGCAGCGACGCCGCGUGGGGGAUGACGGCCUUCGGGUUGUAAACCCCUUUCAGUAGGGAAGAAGCGAGAGUGACGGUACCUGCAGAAGAAGCGCCGGCUAACUACGUG